GUUCCGAUUGUGUAGUGGUUAUCACAUCUGCCUAACACAAAGAAGGUCCCCAGGUUCGAGACCUGGUCGGAACA